AACGUAGGUGGCAAGCGUUAUCCGGAUUUACUGGGCGUAAAGGGUGUGCAGGCGGGCGGUCAAGUUGUGUAUGAAAUAUCCUGGCUCAACCAGGAGAGGUUAUGCCAGACUGACCGUCUUGAGUGCGAGAGAGGGGCGUGGAAUUCCGGGUGUAGUGGUGAAAUGCGUAGAGAUCCGGAGGAACCCCAGAGGCGAAGGCGGCGCCCUGGCUCGCAACUGACGCUCAUACACGACAGCAUGGGGAGCGAACGGG
rnacentral:rRNA from 1 species